GAUGAAGAACGUAGCGAAAUGCGAUAAGUAGUGUGAAUUGCAGAAUUCAGUGAAUCAUCGAAUCUUUGAACGCACAUUGCGCCCGGCAGUAAUCUGCCGGGCAUGCCUGUCCGAGCGUCAUUUCUGCCCUCGAGCGAGUCCAGCAUCUAGGUGCUGGGCCCGCCCGGCGUUGGGGCACUACGGGAAGCCCUGUGCUGUCCCCCGUAGGCCCCGAAAUGAAGUGGCGGUCCUGCCGCGGCGCCCCCUGCGGAGUAUAACAGCUCGCUUCGGGACCCGGUGGAGGCCUGCCGUCAAACCUUACUCUCUAAGUUUGACCUCGGAUCAGGUAGGGUUACCCGCUGAACUUAAGCAUAUCAAUAAGCGGAGGA
rnacentral:misc_RNA from 1 species